rnacentral:rRNA from 1 species
AUUGAACGCUAGCGGCAGGCCUAACACAUGCAAGUCGAACGAGUGGCGGACUGGUGAGUAAUGUCUGGGAAACUGCCUGAUGGAGGGGGAUAACUACUGGAACCGGUAGCUAAAACCGCAUACCAUCAGAUAUGCCCAGAUGGGAUUAGCUUGUUGGUGGGGUAACGGCUCACCGAGGCGACGCUCCCUCGCUGGUCUGAGAGGAUGACCAGCCACAUUGGAACUGAGACACGGUGCAGACUCCGACGGGAGGCAGCAGUGGGGAAUAUUGCACAAUGGGCUCAAGCCUGGUGCAGCCAUGCCGCGGGUAUGAAGAAGGCCUUCGGGUUGUAAAGUACUUUCAGCGGGGAGGCGUUACCCGCAGAAGAAGCACCGGCGAACUCCGUGCCAGCAGCCGCGGUAAUAC